rnacentral:misc_RNA from 1 species
CCGAGUUAUCCAACUCCCAACCCCUGUGAAUUAUACCUUUAAUUGUUGCUUCGGCGGGACUUCGCGCCCGCCGGGGACCCAAACUUCUGAAUUUUUUAAUAAGUAUCUUCUGAGUGGUUAAAAAAAUGAAUCA